UGGGGAAUUUUGGACAAUGGGCGAAAGCCUGAUCCAGCAAUGCCGCGUGUGUGAAGAAGGCCUUCGGGUUGUAAAGCACUUUUUUCCGGAAAGAAAUGGCUCUGGUUAAUACCUGGGGUCGAUGACGGUACCGGAAGAAUAAGGACCGGCUAACUACGUGCCAGCAGCCGCGGUAAUACGUAGGGUCCAAGCGUUAAUCGGAAUUACUGGGCGUAAAGCGUGCGCAGGCGGUUGUGCAAGACCGAUGUGAAAUCCCCGAGCUUAACUUGGGAAUUGCAUUGGUGACUGCACGGCUAGAGUGUGUCAGAGGGGGGUAGAAUUCCACGUGUAGCAGUGAAAUGCGUAGAGAUGUGGAGGAAUACCGAUGGCGAAGGCAGCCCCCUGGGAUAACACUGACGCUCAUGCACGAAAGCGUGGGGAGCAAACAGG
rnacentral:rRNA from 2 species